rnacentral:rRNA from 1 species
AGAGUUUGAUUAUGGCUCAGGAUGAACGCUGGCGGCGUGCUUAACACAUGCAAGUCGAACGAAGCGCUUAAGGACAAUUCUUCGGAGGCGUACUUUUGCGACUGAGUGGCGGACGGGUGAGUAACGCGUGGGUAACCUGCCCUAUACAGGGGGAUAACAGUUAGAAAUGACUGCUAAUACCGCAUAAGCGCACUAGAACCGCAUGGUUCGGUGUGAAAAACUGAGGUGGUAUAGGAUGGACCCGCGUCUGAUUAGCUUGUUGGUGAGGUAACGGCUCACCAAGGCGACGAUCAGUAGCCGGCCUGAGAGGGCGACCGGCCACAUUGGGACUGAGACACGGCCCAAACUCCUACGGGAGGCAGCAGUGGGGAAUAUUGCACAAUGGGGGAAACCCUGAUGCAGCGACGCCGCGUGAGUGAAGAAGUAUUUCGGUAUGUAAAGCUCUAUCAGCAGGGAAGAAAAUGACGGUACCUGACUAAGAAGCCCCGGCUAACUACGUGCCAGCAGCCGCGGUAAUACGUAGGGGGCAAGCGUUAUCCGGAUUUACUGGGUGUAAAGGGAGCGUAGGUGGCCUGGUAA